UACGGAGGGAGCUAGCGUUAUUCGGAAUUACUGGGCGUAAAGCGCACGUAGACGGCUUUGUAAGUAAGAGGUGAAAGCCCAGAGCUCAACUCUGGAAUUGCCUUUUAGACUGCAUCGCUUGAAUCAUGGAGAGGUCAGUGGAAUUCCGAGUGUAGAGGUGAAAUUCGUAGAUAUUCGGAAGAACACCAGUGGCGAAGGCGGCUGACUGGACAUGUAUUGACGCUGAGGUGCGAAAGCGUGGGGAGCAAACAGG
rnacentral:rRNA from 1 species